GCACCUCUUACCCAGCGUUUAGCUGCCUGGAGACGCACUGACCUGAAUCUGCUCUGAUUCCCGGGAAACAGCAUGACGGGGAAGCCAGCCACGGGGACCUGAGUAGGCAAACGCCCUUCGAGGAAAUUCCUCGUGCAGAGGGGAAGUCAGAGAGCUCAGGGACGGGCACUCGCCACUCCGCUCUCGGGGCCCGAGGAGCAGGGCGGACCCCAUCCGGACCGAGUCCUGUUUCUGAAGCAAACGCUGCUGAUCUGGAAACAUAGCCUGUGCCAGGCUCUGCAAAUCCCAGGCCUUUUAUGCAAAGGCCGUCACUUCUGUGAUCCCGCCGGGAGCUGGCAGAGAGAUGCGACGCGGCCUCCUGCUCGGGAGCCCUGUGGCCGGACGACACCGGGGCUCAGGUCUGAAUGUUCCCUUCUGAUCUGCAGUUCCAUUAGCACCCCGGCGGAGCACGCUCCUUUCGUUGCCAGGGCAGGCGGAGACUGUGGUACUUCCCGAAGUUCAACUGCCUCGCGGUCUUCCUCGCCGGCUUUGCCGUGCGCCGGGACCCCCCCAAGUGGGGCGCUCGGCCCUCCCAGCAGGAGCCAUGCCGGCCAGCUCCAGGCCGGGCGUGUCUCACGUGGCCUGCGGCGGCCUUCCCACGCUCACGGGGCGCAACUAAUGUCCGGUGAGUGAAACGAGUGGACCCCAGUGGUGGCCGCAGGGCGUGGAGAUGUCCGGGGGCAGCUCCUGGUCUGCCCCGGUGCAAUGCCACGGGCCCACGUCGGUGGGACGUGGCCGUGGGUGGAUAAGGUGUCCCUUUGUACCGUCUACGCUGCUCACCAAAGUGACUUUGAGUUGCUAUCACUAAAACACAAGCACAAUCAGAUUUUUAGAACAUGCACAAUUGCAGAUAAAAGGCAGAAACCAAGAAUUAAAAGACAAGUGAAUGAGAAAAAAGAAAAACCAAUAUCAAGGAACUGAAUAAGGAACCCCCCAAGUCUCCCGCCGAAGGGGCGAAGAGGAGACGGAACGGACCGUGAGCCUGGGCGGACGCUCUCAGGAUCCUGGGGCAGGCCUGCGGGCCCACCGAGUCAGGCCACGGUUAACAAACUUCCGUCAGGAGCCCACUGAAGCAGGAGCAGGUGCCAUCGACCGGCCGUGGUGCCCUGAUCCCAGCAGGUUGUAGGAUGUUUGAAGCAGAAAAUGGCCUGCCGUGCUCAAACAUUUUAAUGUCACAGACUAUUGAUUAGUCUGCAAAGUAGGCUACAAGAAUUCCAUUCAUGCUUAGCCCGAGAGCCCCCACACCCCGGAGCAGGAGGCGCCGGGCUCCUGGCCGCCCAUGUCCACGUCCUGGCCCUGCCCGCCCUCCUCCCCGCCCUGCUCGCUGACAUUCCCCACGCACUUAAAGCCCAGUGCUGGCAGCACCAACCCCAGCAAGCCUGUCUUGACCCCACCUGACCCACAGAGACCACUGCCACGCCACGCUCCUGGCUCCGCGAAAUUCGUGGCAUCUCCCCUCGGGGAGCCCCGAGAGGCUCAGCCUGCGCGGCCCUUUUCAAGCCUCUCGCACCUAGUAGGACCGCUGCAAGUUCAUGCAGACGCUGUCCUCCUGAGGGGUCAGGCAGAGGACAGGGGAGGAGAGGGUGGGCUACUAAGAAAACGCUUAUUCGGGUCAACUAAAAGAGAACAUUUAAAAAGAA